AUUGAACGCUGGCGGCAUGCCUUACACAUGCAAGUCGAACGGCAGCGGACCUUCGGGUGCCGGCGAGUGGCGAACGGGUGAGUAAUGUAUCGGAACGUACCUUUCAGUGGGGGAUAACGUAGCGAAAGUUACGCUAAUACCGCAUAUUCUGUGAGCAGGAAAGCAGGGGAUCGCAAAACCUUGCGCUGAUUGAGCGGCCGAUAUCAGAUUAGCUAGUUGGUGAGGUAAAGGCUCACCAAGGCGACGAUCUGUAGCGGGUCUGAGAGGAUGAUCCGCCACACUGGAACUGAGACACGGUCCAGGCUCCUACGGGAGGCAGCAGUGGGGAAUUUUGGACAAUGGGCGCAAGCCUGAUCCAGCCAUGCCGCGUGAGUGAAGAAGGCCUUCGGGUUGUAAAGCUCUUUCGGCCGGGAAGAAAUCGCAUGGGUUAAUACCCUGUGCGGAUGACGGUACCGGCAUAAGAAGCACCGGCUAACUACGUGCCAGCCGCCGCCGUAAGAC
rnacentral:rRNA from 1 species